rnacentral:rRNA from 1 species
AGCAUGGUAACAUGUGGAGCUGACAGAUACUAAUAGGUCGAAGGCUUGACCUU